UGUUUGUGUGUGUGUGUAUAUAUACAUGGUUGGCCAAAAGUUAUCCGAAAGUAAAUCAAAAUUCCAUAAAUACUUAAUAUUUAAUUUCAUUUAUUCAUUCCAAUUAUGAACGUUUCAUAAUUGAAUGUUGUGAGUUAUAAUCUUUU